rnacentral:rRNA from 1 species
GUUUAUGGCCAUACCACCCUGAACACGACCAAUCUCAUCUCAUCUCAGAAACUAAGCAGGUUUUGGCCUGGUUAGUACUUGCAUGGAAGGUGUUCUUAUACA